rfam:Ovis aries breed Texel chromosome 3, whole genome shotgun sequence.
UCCGUAGUGGCUCAGAGGGUACAGCGUCUGCCUGCAAUGCAGGUAGAUCUGGGUUCGAUCCCUGGGUCAGGAA